CCCGCACAAGCGGUGAGCAUGUGGUUUAAUUCGACGCAACGCGAAGAACCUUACCUACUCUUGACAUCUACAGAAGAACGCAGAGAUGUGUCUGUGCCUUCGGGAACUGUAAGACAGGUGCUGCAUGGCUGUCGUCAGCUCGUGUCGUGAGAUGUUGGGUUAAGUCCCGCAACGAGCGCAACCCUUGUCAUUAGUUGCUACAUUCAGUUGGGCACUCUAAUGAGACUGCCGGUGACAAACCGGAGGAAGGUGGGGAUGACGUCAAGUCCUCAUGGCCCUUAUAGGUGGGGCUACACACGUCAUACAAUGGAUGGUACAAAGGGUCGCCAACCCGCGAGGGGGAGCCAAUCCCAUAAAGCCAUUCGUAGUCCGGAUCGCAGUCUGCAACUCGACUGCGUGAAGUCGGAAUCGCUAGUAAUCGUGGAUCAGAAUGUCACGGUGAAUACGUUCCCGGGUCUU
rnacentral:rRNA from 1 species